CCUACGGGAGGCAGCAGUGAGGAAUAUUGGGCAAUGGACGAGAGUCUGAACCAGCCAAGUAGCGUGAAGGAUGACUGCCCUAUGGGUUGUAAACUUCUUUUAUAAAGGAAUAAAACGAGGCACGUGUGCCUUUUUGCAUGUACUUUAUGAAUAAGGAUCGGCUAACUCCGUGCCAGCAGCCGCGGUAAUACGGAGGAUGCGAGCGUUAUCCGGAUUUAUUGGGUUUAAGGGGUGCGCAGGCGGAGGUGCAAGUCAGUGGUCAAAUUGCGGGGCUCAACCCCGUACUGCCGUUGAAACUGCAUCCCUUGAGUGCGCGAGAAGUAUGCGGAAUGCGUGGUGUAGCGGUGAAAUGCAUAGAUAUCACGAAGAACCCCGAUUGCGAAGGCAGCUUACUAAGCUGUGACUGACAUUGAUGCUCGAAAGUGUGGGUAUCAAACAGGAUUAGAUACCCGAGUAGUC
rnacentral:rRNA from 1 species